UACGGAGGGUGCGAGCGUUGUCCGGAAUCACUGGGCGUAAAGGGCGCGUAGGCGGCUCAUGAAGGCUGUGGUGAAAGUCCGGGGCUCAACCUCGGAUCGGCCGUGGCGACUCGUGGGCUGGAGCACUGUAGAGGCAGGGUGGAAUUCCCGGUGUAGCGGUGGAAUGCGUAGAGAUCGGGAAGAACAUCAGUGGCGAAGGGCGGCCUGCUGGGCUGUUGCUGACGCUGAGGCGCGACAGCGUGGGGAGCAAACAGG
rnacentral:rRNA from 1 species